UGUGAAGAUGCAGUGUACCCGCGGCAAGACGGAAAGACCCCGUGAACCUUUACUAUAGCUUGACACUGAACAUUGAGCCUUGAUGUGUAGGAUAGGUGGGAGGCUUUGAAGCGUGGACGCCAGUCUGCGUGGAGCCGACCUUGAAAUACCACCCUUUAAUGUUUGAUGUUCUAACGUGGAUCCGUAAUCCGGGUUGCGGACAGUGUCUGGUGGGUAGUUUGACUGGGGCGGUCUCCUCCUAAAGAGUAACGGAGGAGCACGAAGGUUGGCUAAUCCUGGUCGGACAUCAGGAGGUUAGUGCAAUGGCAUAAGCCAGCUUGACUGCGAGCGUGACGGCGCGAGCAGGUGCGAAAGCAGGUCAUAGUGAUCCGGUGGUUCUGAAUGGAAGGGCCAUCGCUCAACGGAUAAAAGGUACUCCGGGGAUAACAGGCUGAUACCGCCCAAGAGUUCAUAUCGACGGCGGUGUUUGGCACCUCGAUGUCGGCUCAUCACAUCCUGGGGCUGAAGUAGGUCCCAAGGGUAUGGCUGUUCGCCAUUUAAAGUGGUACGCGAGCUGGGUUUAGAACGUCGUGAGACAGUUCGGUCCCUAUCUGCCGUGGGCGCUGGAGAACUGAGGGGGGCUGCUCCUAGUACGAGAGGACCGGAGUGGACGCAUCACUGGUGUUCGGGUUGUCAUGCCAAUGGCACUGCCCGGUAGCUAAAUGCGGAAGAGAUAAGUGCUGAAAGCAUCUAAGCACGAAACUUGCCCCGA
rnacentral:rRNA from 1 species